GCCUUCGUGGUGUAGUGGUCAGAACGUAUUCGAGAGGUCCGUGGUUCGAGUCCCGGUGAGGGCA
rnacentral:tRNA from 1 species